CCUACGGGUGGCAGCAGUGAGGAAUAUUGGUCAAUGGACGAGACUCUGAACCAGCCAAGUAGCGUGAAUGAUGACUGCCCUCUGGGUUGUAAACUUCUUUUAUAUGGGAAUAAAAUGUUCCACGUGUGGGAUUUUGUAUGUACCAUAUGAAUAAGGAUCGGCUAACCCCGUGCCAGCAGCCGCGGUAAUACGGAGGAUCCGAGCGUUAUCCGGAUUUAUUGGGUUUAAAGGGAGCGUAGGUGGAUUGUUAAGUCAGAUGUGAAAGUUUGCGGCUCAACCGUAAAAUUGCAGUUGAAACUGGCAGUCUGGAGUACAGGAGAGGUGGGCGGAAUUCGUGGUGUAGCGGUGAAAUGCUUAGAUAUUACGAAGAACUCCGAUGGCGAAGGCAGCUCACUGGACUGCAACUGACACUGAGGCUCGAAAGUGUGGGUAUCAAACAGGAUUAGAUACCCUUGUAGUC
rnacentral:rRNA from 1 species